UACGUAGGGCGCAAGCGUUGUCCGGAUUUAUUGGGCGUAAAGAGCUCGUAGGCGGCUUGUUGCGUCGACUGUGAAAACCCGCGGCUUAACCGCGGGCUUGCAGUUGAUACGGGCAGGCUAGAGUUCGGUAGGGGAGACUGGAAUUCCUGGUGUAGCGGUGAAAUGCGCAGAUAUCAGGAGGAACACCGAUGGCGAAGGCAGGUCUCUGGGCAUUAACUGACGCUGAGGAGCGAAAGCGUGGGGAGCAAACAGG
rnacentral:rRNA from 1 species